UUGUGGUGUUUACUGUUAAGCC
rnacentral:siRNA from 1 species